rnacentral:rRNA from 1 species
AGAAUCAACGCUGGCGGCGUGCCUAACACAUGCAAGUCGAACGAGAAAGUGGAGCAAUCCAUGAGUAAAGUGGCGCACGGGUGAGUAACACGUGACUAACCUACCCUUGAGUGGGGGAUAACCUAGGGAAACCUGGGCUAAUACCGCAUAAUACCGAGAGGUCAAAGGAGCAAUUCGCUUAAGGAGGGGGUCGCGGCCGAUUAGUUAGUUGGCGGGGUAAUGGCCCACCAAGACUAUGAUCGGUAUCCGGCCUGAGAGGGCGCACGGACACACUGGAACUGAAACACGGUCCAGACUCCUACGGGAGGCAGCAGUGGGGAAUUUUGCGCAAUGGGGGAAACCCUGACGCAGCAACGCCGCGUGGAGGAUGAAGUCCCUUGGGACGUAAACUCCUUUCGAUCGGGACGAUUAUGACGGUACCGAGAGAAGAAGCCCCGGCUAACUUCGUGCCAGCAGCCGC